CGAUGUGUCUCCACCUUGUCGUGGUGAGGAAGCUUACGACACUGCUGAGGAUAACAUUUCCUUAUAGCAGAUGUCAAACUAAGAGAGACACCUAAUUAUGUAUUAUUUUCGUCAUAAUUUCCAAUAAAAUUGGUUUUGAACUUUUUUUUUUAAUAAAUGAAGAAAUAAUGGUUCAAAAUAUUACCAAAAAUUACAUUUCUUGAUGUGCCUCAACCUUCUAAUUUGGAAGCUUACGACAGGGCUGAGGUGGACAGUUUCUUCAAGCAGAUGUCAAACUAAGACAUCACAUAUCGUAUUUUUAUCAUAUAUUUCUAAAAAAAAAAUAUAUGAAGUUGACUUUCAACCUUGUACAGCUAGAAAAGAAGCACAAAUAAUACCUCUAGAAACUACAUUCCUCGAUGUGUCUCCACCUUGUGGUGAAGUUUACGACACUGCUGAGAAAACAUUUGCUUAAAGCAUAUGUCAAACUAAGAAAGACACCAUUAUUUUCGUCAUAAUUUCCAAUAAUAUUGCUUUUAAACCUUUUGAACAUAAUGGUACAACAAAUUACAUUUCUUGAUAUGUUCGCACCUUGUAUUGAGGAAGCUUACGACGCUGCUGGUGAGAACACUUUCUUCAAGCAGAUAUUAAACUAAGACAUUUCAUUUUUUAUCAUAUUUUCAAAAAAAAAAAAUUUAUAUAUAUGCAACCCUUAUAUAACACAAAAUAUUAAUUCUAGAAACUACAUUCCUCUAUGUGUCUCCACCUUGUCGUGGUGAGGAAGUUUGCGACACCGCUGAGAAAAACAUUUUCUUAAAGCAGAUGUCAAACUAAGAGAGACACCUAAUUAUGUACUGUUAUCGUCAUAAUUUCCAAUAAAAUUGAUUUCGAACCUUUUUUUUUGUUGACUAAAUAAAGAGAUAAUGGUACAAAAUAUUACCAAAAAUUACAUUUCAUGAUAUGUUCCCACCUUGUAUUGAGGAAGCUUAUGACACUGGUGAUGAGAACACUUUUUUCAAGCAGAUGUCAACGUAAGAGAGACAUCUCAUUUUGUAUUUUUAUCAUAUAUUUUCAAAUAUAUAUAUACGAACCUUAUGCAACCAGAAAAGAAACACAAAAUAUUAAUUCUGAAAACUACAUUCCUCUAUGUGUCUCCACCUUGUCGUGGUGAGGAAGUUUACGACACUGCUGGGAAAAACAUUUUCUUAAAGCAGAUGUCAAACUAAGAGAGACACCUAAUUAUGUACUGUUAUCGUCAUAAUUUCCAAUAAAAUUGAUUUCGAACCUUUUUUUUUGUUGACUAAAUAAAGAGAUAAUGGUACAAAAUAUUACCAAAAAUUACAUUUCAUGAUAUGUUCCCACCUUGUAUUGAGGAAGCUUAUGACACUGGUGAUGAGAACACUUUUUUCAAGCAGAUAUCAAACUAAGAGAGACAUCUCAUUUUGUAUUUUUAUCCUCUAUUUCCAAACAGAAAAAAUACGAAGUUGACUUUUAACCUUAUACAGCUGAAAAAAUAACACAAAAUAUUUCUAGAAACUACAUUCCUUUGCACCUUGUCGUGGUGAGGAAGUUUGCGACACUGCUGGGAAAAACAUUUUCUUAAAGCAGAUGUCAAACUAAGAGACACCUAAUUAUGUAUUAUUUUCGUCAUCAAUUUCAAAUAAAAUUGGUUUCGAACCUUUUUUUUGUUGACUAAUUAAAGAAAUAAUGGUUCUAAGUAUUACCAAAAAUUACUUUUCUUGAUUUGGCCCAACCUUCUAAUGUGGAAGCUUACGACACGGCUGAGGUGAACACUUUCUUCAAUCAGAUGUCAAACUAAGACAUCACAUUUCGUAUUUUUAUCCUAUAUUUCCAAAAAGAAAAAAAUACAAAGUUGACUUUUAACCUUAUACAGCUCAAAAAAUAACACAAAAUAUUUCUAGAAACUACAUUCCUCUGUGUCUCCACCUUGUGGUGAGGAAGCUUACGACACUGCUGAGAAAAACAUUUUCUUAAAACAGAUGUCAAACUAAGAGAGACACCAAUAUUUUCGUUAUAAUUUCCAAUAAAAUUGCUUUUAAACCUUUUUCGACUAAAUAAAAAUAAAAUGGUACAAAAUAUUACCUAACAUUAUUUCUUGAUAUGUUCCCACCUUGUAUUGAGGAAGCUUUCUUCAAGCAGAUGUCAAAGUAACAGUGACAUAUCAUUUCGUAUUUUUAUCAUAUAUUUUCAAAAGAAGUAUACGAAGUUAGUUUUGAACCUUAUACACCUAGAAAAUAAACUCAAAAUAAUAUUUCUAAAAACUACAUUCCUCGCUGUGUCUCCACCUUAUGGUGAGGAAGCUUACGACACUGCUGAGAAAAACAUUUUCUUAAAACAGAUGUCAAACUAAGAGAGACACCAAUAUUUUCGUUAUAAUUUCCAAUAAAAUUGCUUUUAAACCUUUUUCGACUAAAUAAAAAUAAAAUGGUACAAAAUAUUACCUAACAUUAUUUCUUGAUAUGUUCCCACCUUGUAUUGAGGAAGCUUUCUUCAAGCAGAUGUCAAAGUAACAGUGACAUAUCAUUUCGUAUUUUUAUCAUAUAUUUUCAAAAGAAGUAUACGAAGUUAGUUUUGAACCUUAUACACCUAGAAAAUAAACUCAAAAUAAUAUUUCUAAAAACUACAUUCCUCUCUGUGUCUCCACCUUGUCGUGGUGAGGAAGCUUACGACUCUGCUGGGAAAAAUAUUUUCUUAAAGCAGCUGUCUAACUAAGAGAGACACCUAAUUACGUAUUAUUUUCGUCUUAAAAAUAUUGUUUCAUCAAUAAAAAAAUAUAUAAAAUUGCUUUUGAAUCUCUUUUGACUAGAUAAGAAAAAAAUUAUAUUUUAUAUAGUUAGAUUCAAUUGAGGCAGGCUUACACCCGGAAACGUGAAUCUAUACAUAAUCAUGAUAUGGAUUUAGUACUUGUGUGUGUCGCAAUGUUAUUGCAAAUAUAAUGCAUUAAAAUUUGAAUUUAAAAAAAAUAUUACCUAAUUUUCAGAAUUGCAACCCGCUGUUUCAAAGAAUUAUAUUUUCUUCGUCUGUAAAAUUUCUCAGAUCAUCCCUAACAUACCAGUGCGGCUUCAGAAGAUUCAAACUUCUAUUAGCGUCUGUGGUGUUUUGCAAAACACCUCUUAUACGCAUUAUUUCUAAAAACAUAUAUAAUGAUAAUAAUUAAUACAGAUACACGCAUUCAUAUAAAUCAAGUACGUUGUUUAACAAAACGUAGAAUAUGUGAAGAAAAAAAUAUAAACAUCUGAGGACUAAACUGUCUCGGACUCUCAAGAGGAGUACUGGGUCGUGGACAACGGUAAUAUGGCUUUGUCCACCACGUUUAAACGAUUCCAUAGUACGACUUUCGGAACUAUAACUCCCUGUUCGAAAGCAUAUCUAUUUCUAUGCGUUGACUUUAAUCCUCACUAAAGCACAAUUUAUUUAACUUUUCAAAUUCUCCAAUUUGAUUGAAAGACAUUAGAAGCUUUAUCCCCUUGGGUUUUAAAAUAUCUCUUAUAUUUCCAAGUUUUGUUUGUGUGUGUUCAACUGGGAUACAGACAAGCUGCUACGCAAGAAAGAAAUCAAUUCUGAUGAAUACAAUCGACAUUAAUUAAUACUUUUUUUUUCUAGUUAGCAGGCAGGUCGAUGAAACCACAAACACCUCUGUAGUCUACUCUUUAAUUUCUAAAAUGUAAAUCUAUAUGGAUUCUUUGUUUAUUUAUCCAACCGCUACCAUUUUUUUAAAAAAAAUUCUCAAUCGAGUUCAAUAUAUUGAUGAAUGCUUUGUCUACUACUGGCAUAAUCUGAAAACUGGAUAGUAUUCGAUCAGCAUAAUCGAACGUUAGAUUUAGCUCAUUUAUUUCAUCUUCAUCAAUCACUUUGCUAUAUAGAACAUUCAAGCAAAUGAUGAACUGCAGUUACACUUCCGGGUAACUAUUUAUGACUAUCUAUUAUGAGAGAAGAGUGAAUAAAAAUUAAGAGAGGCGAGAUUUUAAGUGAAGAUGAAGAGAGGAUAAAGUCAGUGAAAACAACAAUUUAAAAUUUGCUUUGCCGUUCGUCGCUGCGUUUAUUUUUAAUGUGACUGGUAUUGUUUCUAAUUAAAGAAUCCAAAUUAAAAGUUAUAAUUAUAUUUUAUUUACUUAAUCAUUAUACUAUCAUAUAAGGAGGAGGAUGACCACACUUACCUAUAGCUGCUCGUAUUGAGAGUCUCGCUUGAAAUCGGACUGAAUUGUCUGUAUUGUGCGUAUUUCCUCUUUUUAUGGAGUUAAUUUAUACAUUUUAUUUCAAGGAGUCAAACAUGAUCUCGUGGUCUUAUUCAACAUCCGACGGUCGACAAAUCAAACAUAAUCUUGUGACAAAUUUCUAGAAAGUUAAAAGUUCAACUGACCAUUGUAAUUCGAUUGCGAGAUGAGAUCACGGGAUCUUAAUCAACUGUUUAAUUAGCUAAAGAUUAACAAGUUUGACGGCGAGAAUUGUCACAAGGCAACGUCGUGACAUUUACAAUAUUAUAUACAUUAUAUUUAGCGGUUAAAAAAAGAGUAGUGCUUACCAGAUAUAAAUGUAGUAAUGGUAUAGCCGUCUAACUCAUCCAUGAACUCCCCUAGAAAAUUUCCGAGUGCGGGAUUAUUAUUUCCAUCUUGAGCGUAGAUGAUUGAAUCGGUAUCAUGACAUAGUACCGAUUCUCCAAGCUUCGUAAAGCGUGAGGAUAAUUUAAACCACACGCUUGGUGUGCGAAUCCCCUUAUGUAUCUUUCGUUAAAAUGACAGACCCUCACUUUUAUUUCACAGUAGACCGCCGCAAAUUUUUACAUCGGAAUUUUUUGAAAACAUUUUUAGCAUGCAUAUAUUCAUCAUCACUUAUAGGUUCAUUAUUCAAAAUGUUAAAUAAAUGACGCUUUAGACGGUUAGCGAGUCUCUUGAAGUUUAUUAAUAUCGUCUAAAUAUGAAUAUGGAAAAAAAACAUUUUCUCAACAACAAAUUACUAUUUUCCUUGUCUUUGAAAAACUUGUGAAAAAUUUUGAAGUCGUGUCCAGAUUCAAUUAAAUUUUUUACUAAAAUGUCCAAAGAAGUGUUUAGAAACUGGUACGCGUCUAUGAUUUUGAUCGCAUCUAAACUGAUAGUGGUAAAUUUCUCCAAGUUAACUGGUAUGAUUUUUAUUUGCUUAAAAAGGUUUGCAGGAAGAUUUUUCAAAAUUAGAUGCGUAUCAUAACUUUUCGAAUUAUGGAUGACGAGCGGAAUGAAGUACGUCGUACGAUAAUUUAAAUGACACUCUUGGUGUGCUAAUCCUCGUAUGUAUCCUUCCUUUAAAUGACAAUGGUCCCUCACUUUUAUUUCACCUUUUUUAAAAGUCUUGUUGCAUAUGUGACACACAUUUGGAUCGAUAUAUGCAUCAGGAUUGCCUCUCAUAGGCGCUAUACCCGUCAUUAAUUCCAAAAUUUUGUUAGAUAUUUCUCUCAGAGUUAUGAGAAACGUCUCUAUUACGUUGGUACCCACAUUAAAUUCGUGGAAAAUAGGAUUUGAGUCAUUAUCUAAAACAAGCAUAGAAUAACUGACCGGCUCGUGUCGUCCUACGUGCAUAGUAAAACUUGUACUGGACGAAGGAGCAACCGAGUACAAUUUUGUUGUCAAACACUCAAAAUAUGCUUACACUACAUAUGGAUGCCAUGACAUUUGUGUUAAAUUGGAAAAUUUAAGCAUCUGAGAUUUUUUAGGCAUAGAAAUUUUUUGCGGUUUAUUAUUCAAACACAUCCGCUUAUGAUAUAUCAUGGUUUCGGGUCUUUAAAAGCUGCUAAAACAGCGUUUGCAACAAUAGUGAGUCCCAUUUUUUUCACACAUGAAACGAUUAAAAUUUUUUAUAAGAAAAUAAUGAUUUCUAUAGAGUAACAAGUCGAUUUCUAUGAAUGAUUUUCCAAGUUCACUGAUUCGUAUGGGUAAAACUUGUCCGUCCGUGAAACCGUAAACGUUUAUUUUAAGAUUGUUUUGCUUUUCAAAUUUCGAUAUUUUAUUAAGGGUGAUGGGAAACUUUAUACCGGCAACAUCAAAGUUUUUCAAAUAUCUAGUAUAUUUGGAUUUUCUUAUUGCAUUAACUCGACAUGGAUACAAACAAGCGGCUACGCUGUAAAGAAAGCAUUGGUUGUCGUUGCAAUCAAUAUUUAUAACGGCCUUUUUAUUUCUUAACUUUUUGGGGAGGACGAUGUGUCCGCAACCACCUCUUAAACUGGCAUAGUUGCCUAAAUGAACAUCGAUGUAAGAAACCUGUUUGAUAACCCACCCGCUUCCGUUCCUGACAAAGUUAUCUAUAGAAGUCAAAAUUUUUGUAAAUGCGCGAUCUAUAGCUUCGAAAAUUUGGAAACGAGACAAAAUUCGUUCUGCAAAUGAGCAAAAGUAGAAACUCUGUAUAAGUUCGUUAUCCUCGUCUUCAUCGUUCAUUAUUUUAGAAAAAAUAACGUUCAAACAAAUAAUUAAGCGCAACCUUAAAACAGGGCUCUGGUCUAUGAGGUUAAAAAUUAGAGCUCGGGCUUCGUUAUAGAGUACAUGAGGAUCACCAUAAUUGGUGAAAGCUCUGUAUGUGCGCGUAAAUCUCCCGAAGGACGAUCUUCGCAUUUCGAAAUUCAUUAUUUUUUUAAACAAAUACAAAUUUUUAAAAGCAAACAGUUAAUAAUCAAAAUACAUUAAUACAGUCAAUAGCACUUUAGAUUUAAAAACAAAUAGAGUUUUAAAGAAUACACAUACAAUAACAGGUAGAUAUUGUCACUUUAGAUAUUUAAAAUUCAUUAUAACACAUAAGCAAAAAUUAUGUCACUUUAGAAGAUGUAUCAUGUUAAAAAAAAUGGGUUAUAAACAUUUUGUAUAUAAUAAUUUUUUCAAAAUAAAACUCUCAAAUUUCUCAAUCAGGCAAUAAAUUUAUUGCGAGGUAUAUUGAGCAAUGUGCUCGUGCAAUCUUUCGAUUGCCAGUUUGAAUUUAGAUAUUUGAUCAAUGGGGAAAUUAAGGCGAUUUUUUAUGUCGCCUACGUCACCGGUUUUUCGGAGACCCACGUAUUGAACCGAACGGUACUCGGUUAUUUCGAUGAAGAGACCUUUUCCGACGUUUAUACUGAAAUUUGGAACUUUCGAAGACUCAUCCGGAUAUUAGUAGUAUAUAUGUGGGAUGUUUUGACUCAGUCUGACGUGUUCUGACUCACUUUCAGUC